GGCGAGCGUUGUCCGGAUUUAUUGGGCGUAAAGAGCUCGUAGGCGGCUCGGUAAGUCGGGUGUGAAACCUCCAGGCUCAACCUGGAGACGCCACCUGAUACUGCUGUGGCUAGAGUCCGGUAGGGGAGUGUGGAACUCCUGGUGUAGCGGUGAAAUGCGCAGAUAUCGAGAGGAACACCAGUGGCGAAGGCGGCGUUCUGGACUGCAACUGACACUGAUAAACGAAAGCCAGGGUAGCAAACGGG
rnacentral:rRNA from 1 species